rnacentral:rRNA from 1 species
GUACACGCUGUGACUAGCAUAUCAAUAAGCGGAGGAAAAGAAACUAACAAGGAUUCCCUUAGUAACGGCGAGUGAAGCGGGAAGAGCUCAAAUUUGAAAUCUUAAAGGGUUUCCCUUUACGAAUUGUAGUUUAAAGAAGGUGUUUUCUGUUGAGGUUUUGGUAAAAGUUCUUUGGAAUAAGACAUCAUAGAGGGUGAGAAUCCCGUAUUUGACCUUUACUUUCAACUUUGUGAUACACUUUCAAAGAGUCGGAUUGUUUGGGAAUGCAGUCCAAAAUGGGUGGUAAAUUUCAUCUAAAGCUAAAUAUUGGCGAGAGACCGAUAGCGAACAAGUACCGUGAGGGAAAGAUGAAAAGAACUUUGAAAAGAGAGUUAAACAGUACGUGAAAUUGUCAAAAGGGAAGCGUUUGACACCAGUGUAGUUUUUCUGAAAAUCAAUUAAAGAACUGUUUAUGCUAAGCUGUUUAGACUUUAUCAGCUAUCUGUUUAGUUUUGAGCUUUUCUUUAGUGCACUUUUCAGUUAACAAGUCAACAUCAAUUUCUUUUGCUGUAAAAAAGCUUGAGGAAGGUGGCUUGAGAUUCGUCUUAAGUGUUUAUAGCCUCUUGCCUAUGCAGUCGGAGAGAUUGAGGUCUGCAGCGUAGAUCCUUCGGGGCUAAAUGCAUUUGUGCUAAGUUAUAGCAUUUUAUAGACAACUUGUUGACUAUGAUUUGUCUUGUAGCUUACUCGCUUAUGUUAUUUUACCUACGCUUAGGAUGUUGAAGAUGUAGCACAUCA